AAAUUGAAGAGUUUGAUCAUGGCUCAGAUUGAACGCUGGCGGCAGGCCUAACACAUGCAAGUCGAACGGUAACAGGAAGCAGCUUGCUGCUUCGCUGACGAGUGGCGGACGGGUGAGUAAUGUCUGGGAAGCUGCCUGAUGGAGGGGGAUAACUACUGGAAACGGUAGCUAAUACCGCAUAACGUCGCAAGACCAAAGAGGGGGACCUUCGGGCCUCUUGCCAUCGGAUGUGCCCAGAUGGGAUUAGCUUGUUGGUGGGGUAACGGCUCACCAAGGCGACGAUCCCUAGCUGGUCUGAGAGGAUGACCAGCCACACUGGAACUGAGACACGGUCCAGACUCCUACGGGAGGCAGCAGUGGGGAAUAUUGCACAAUGGGCGCAAGCCUGAUGCAGCCAUGC
rnacentral:rRNA from 1 species